UGGGGAAUUUUGGACAAUGGGGGAAACCCUGAUCCAGCCAUCCCGCGUGUGCGAUGAAGGCCUUCGGGUUGUAAAGCACUUUUGGCAGGAAAGAAACGUCAUGGGUUAAUACCCCGUGAAACUGACGGUACCUGCAGAAUAAGCACCGGCUAACUACGUGCCAGCAGCCGCGGUAAUACGUAGGGUGCAAGCGUUAAUCGGAAUUACUGGGCGUAAAGCGUGCGCAGGCGGUUCGGAAAGAAAGAUGUGAAAUCCCAGAGCUCAACUUUGGAACUACAUUUUUAACUACCGGGCUAGAGUGUGUCAGAGGGAGAUGGAAUUCCGCGUGUAGCAGUGAAAUGCGUAGAUAUGCGGAGGAACACCGAUGGCGAAGGCAGCCUCCUGGGAUAACACUGACGCUCAUGCACGAAAGCGUGGGGAGCAAACAGG
rnacentral:rRNA from 1 species